GAAGAGCUCACUCCCCUUAGUUUUUUCCAGGGAGUGAAACCAGGGUCAAUGGGAGGAAAUAACACAAGCAAUAAUGCCACGGAGGAUAGUGUUUAUCUGUUACUCUUGUGAGCCCACCACCAUCGUGGGGCCUACCUGCAUGUGUCCCCUUCCAGACUCAUGGAUAAUCACCGUGUCACUCAGUCUUGGCCCUAACUUCUCCUGCACAGCAAAGACUCCACAUCCAGUUUCAUGGAAGUGGCCAAUUGGGCUGAAGCCUGAGAUUUUGAAUUUACAGAUAAGCUCCUGGAUGGU
rnacentral:lncRNA from 1 species